CCUACGGGAGGCAGCAGUGAGGAAUAUUGGUCAAUGGACGAGAGUCUGAACCAUCCAAGUCGCGUGAAGGAUGACUGCCCUAUGGGUUGUAAACUUCUUUUAUAGAGGAAUAAAACGAGGCACGUGUGGCUUUUUGCAUGUACUUUAUGAAUAAAGCACGGCUAACUCCGUGCCAGCAGCCGCGGUAAUACGGGGGAUGCGGGCUUUAUCCGGAUUUAUUGGGUUUAAAGGGUGCGCAGGCGGAUUUUUAAGUCAGCGGUCAAAUCGUGGGGCUCAACCCCAUCCCGCCGUUGAAACUGGCGAUCUAGAGUGGGAGAGAGGUAUGCGGAAUGCGUGGUGUAGCGGUGAAAUGCAUAGAUAUCACGCAGAACCCCGAUUGCGAAGGCAGCAUACCGG
rnacentral:rRNA from 1 species